AAAAGUCGAUGGUGAGUGUAAAAGGAUGGGGAGGUGAGGAGACAAGGAGGAGGUUGGCUUAGAAGUAGCUACAAUUUAAAGAGGGCGGAAUAGCUCACUAGUCGAGUGACGCUGCGCCGAAAAGGGACAGGGGCUAAGAAUAGUACCGAAACUGUGGAUGCAUAGAGGAUAUGCGUGGGAGGAGAGCGUUCUAAGUGCGGCGAAGUUAGAUCGAGAGGACUAAUGGAGCGCUGAGAAGUGAGAAUGCCGGUAUGAGUAGCGAAAGAUAGGUGAGAAUCCUAUCCGCCGAAAGACUAAGGUUUCCUGGGGCAGGCUCGUCCGCCCAGGGUAAGUCGGGACCUAAGGUAAGGCCGAGAGGCGUAGCCGAUGGACAAAAGGUCGAGAUUCCUGUACUGAAAUUGGUCGAUAAGAGCAAAGGGGGGACGAGGGAGGCAAAUGACGCAUGUUGCAGGAAAGACAUG
rnacentral:rRNA from 1 species